rnacentral:tRNA from 1 species
GCCCCCUUAGCUCAGUGGAUAGAGCGUCUGCCUCCGGAGCAGAAGGCCGCAGGUUCGAAUCCUGCAGGGGGCAC